AAAUAAAUUAUUUUAAUACCCCAAUCUAUAAUAUAAUAAAUCUUCUUAUUUUUUAUUAAAACCUAUAUAUACUCUAAUAAACUUUAUCAAAACGUCAAUAUACAAUUAUUCUAUACUAAUUCUUCUUAUAUCCUUCACCUUCUAACUUCCUCGUAAAAAAAAAAUUUUCAAUAUUCGAAAUCUACCCUACACUUCUCACUUCCUAUAUUUACAAACA
rnacentral:misc_RNA from 1 species